rnacentral:rRNA from 1 species
AUUGAACGCUGGCGGCAUGCCUUACACAUGCAAGUCGAACGGCAGCACGGGGGCAACCCUGGUGGCGAGUGGCGAACGGGUGAGUAAUACAUCGGAACGUGCCCAGUAGUGGGGGAGUAGCCCGGCGAAAGCCGGAUUAAUACCGCAUACGACCUACGGGUGAAAGCGGGGGAGUCNCAAGACCUCGCGCUAUCGGAGCGGCCGAUGUCAGAUUAGGUUGUUGGUGGGGUAAAACGCCCACCAAGCCGACGAUCUGUAGCUGGUCUGAGAGGACGACCAGCCACACUGGGACUGAGACACGG